AGCAGCCGCGGUAAUUCCAGCUCCAAUAGCGUAUAUUAAAGUUGUUGCAGUUAAAAAGCUCGUAGUUGAAUUUCGGGAUCAAGUCGUCGGUCGUGCUCAGGUACGUACUGGCGUCAUUGAUUUCUCCCUUCUGACGAACCAUGAUGUCAUUAAUUUGGUGUCAUGGGAAAUCAGGACUGUUACUUUGAAAAAUUAGAGUGUUUAAAGCAGGCUCACGCUUGAAUACAUUAGCAUGGAAUAAUGAAAUAGGACGUUCGAUCCUAUUUUGUGGUUUUUAGGAUCAACGUAAUGAUUAAUAGGGAUAGUUGGGGGCAUUAGUAUUCAAUUGUCAGAGGUGAAAUUCUUGGAUUUAUUGAAGACUAACUACUGCGAAAGCAUUUGCCUAAGGAUGUUUUCAUUAAUCAAGAACGAAAGUUAGGGGAUCGAAGACGAUCAGAUACCGUCGUAGUCUUAACCAUAAACUAUGCCGACUAGGGAUCGGAUGAUGUUAAUUUUAAUGA
rnacentral:misc_RNA from 1 species